rnacentral:rRNA from 1 species
UCAGCGCCGAAGAAGCGAGAGUGACGGUAGGCGCAGAAGAAGCACCGGCUAACUACGUGCCAGCAGCCGCGGUAAUACGUAGGGUGCGAGCGUUGUCCGGAAUUAUUGGGCGUAAAGAGCUUGUAGGCGGUUUGUCGCGUCUGCUGUGAAAACCCAGGGCUUAACCCUGGGCCUGCAGUGGGUACGGGCAGACUAGAGUGUGGUAGGGGAGACUGGAAUUCCUGGUGUAGCGGUGAAAUGCGCAGAUAUCAGGAGGAACACCGAUGGCGAAGGCAGGUCUCUGGGCCACUACUGACGCUGAGAAGCGAAAGCAUGGGGAGCGAACAGGAUUAGAUACCCUGGUAGUCCAUGCCGUAAACGUUGGGCGCUAGGUGUGGGACUCAUUCCACGAGUUCCGUGCCGCAGCUAACGCAUUAAGCGCCCCGCCUGGGGAGUACGGCCGCAAGGCUAAAACUCAAAGGAAUUGACGGGGGCCCGCACAAGCGGCGGAGCAUGCGGAUUAAUUCGAUGCAACGCGAAGAACCUUACCAAGGCUUGACAUAUACCGGAAACAUCUGGAGACAGGUGCCCCGCAAGGUCGGUAUACAGGUGGUGCAUGGUUGUCGUCAGCUCGUGUCGUG